GAUGAACGCUGGCGGCGUGCCUAAUACAUGCAAGUCGAGCGAACAGACGAGGAGCUUGCUCCUCUGACGUUAGCGGCGGACGGGUGAGUAACACGUGGAUAACCUACCUAUAAGACUGGGAUAACUUCGGGAAACCGGAGCUAAUACCGGAUAAUAUAUUGAACCGCAUGGUUCAAUAGUGAAAGACGGUUUUGCUGUCACUUAUAGAUUGAUCCGCGCCGAAUUAGCUAGUUGGUAAGGUAACGGCUUACCAAGGCAACGAUGCGUAGCCGACCUGAGAGGGUGAUCGGCCACACUGGAACUGAGACACGGUCCAGACUCCUACGGGAGGCAGCAGUAGGGAAUCUUCCGCAAUGGGCGAAAGCCUGACGGAGCAACGCCGCGUGAGUGAUGAAGGUCUUCGGAUCGUAAAACUCUGUUAUUAGGGAAGAACAAAUGUGUAAGUAACUAUGCACGUCUUGACGGUACCUAAUCAGAAAGCCACGGCUAACUACGUG
rnacentral:rRNA from 1 species